UACGGAGGGAGCUAGCGUUAUUCGGAAUUACUGGGCGUAAAGCGCACGUAGGCGGCUUUGUAAGUUAGAGGUGAAAGCCUGGAGCUCAACUCCAGAAUUGCCUUUGAUACUGCAUGGCUUGAAUCCAGGAGAGGUGAGUGGAAUUCCGAGUGUAGAGGUGAAAUUCGUAGAUAUUCGGAAGAACACCAGUGGCGAAGGCGGCUCACUGGACUGGUAUUGACGCUGAGGUGCGAAAGCG
rnacentral:rRNA from 1 species